rnacentral:rRNA from 1 species
GACGAACGCUGGCGGCGUGCCUAACACAUGCAAGUCGAACGAACGGACCAGAAGUUUGCGUCUCUGAUGUUAGCGGCGGACGGGAGAGUCACAUGUGGAUAACCUACCUAUAAGACUGGGAUAAUUACGGGAAAUCGGAGCUUAUACCGGAUGAUAUCUUGCACCGCGGUGUUCAAAAGUGAAAUUCGGUCUUGGGGUCACUAAUAGAUGGCUCCGGGCUGGAUUGGCUGGUUGGUAAGGUAACGGGUUAUCAAGGCUAGGAUGCAUAGCAGACCUGACGGGGUGAUCGCCCACACGGGAGCUGAGACAGAGUCCCUACUCCUGCGGUAGGCAACAGUCGGGAAUCCUCCGCAAUGGGGGAGAGCCUGACGGAGCAACGGGGCGUGAGUGAUGAAGGUCUUCGGAUCGUAAAACUCUGUUGUUAGUAGAGAACAUAUGUGUAAUUAACUGUGCAGAUAUUGACGGUACCGGGUCAAAAAGCCCCGGCUAACUACGUG